rfam:Selaginella moellendorffii unplaced genomic scaffold SELMOscaffold_73, whole genome shotgun sequence.
GAUCUCAUGGCCGAACAGAUAAGGCGCUGGUCUACGGAACCAGAGAUUCUGGGUUCAAUCCCCAGUGAGGUCG